GAUUUCUUAGUUUAGAUAAAACAAAUGUUUUGAAAACAUUAGAAAAGAAAAAAUUCUUAGUAAUUA
rnacentral:tRNA from 1 species